rnacentral:rRNA from 1 species
CAGAACGAACGCCAGCGGCAGGCCUAAUACAUGCAAGUCGAACGGCCCCGACACUUCGGUGUCGGGGUAGUGGCGCACGGGUGCGUAACGCGUACACAACAUACCCUUUACAGGGGGAUAGCGGCGGGAAACUGCCAGUAAUACCCCAUGUCCUUGCGAGGUGGCAUCAUUUUGCAAAGAAAGUUCAAGCGGUAAAGGAUUGGUGUGCGUCCGAUUAGCUAGUUGGUAGGGUAAAGGCCUACCAAGGCCACGAUCGGUAGCUGGUCUGAGAGGAUGAUCAGCCACACUGGGACUGAGACACGGCCCAGACUCCUACGGGAGGCAGCAGUGGGGAAUAUUGGACAAUGGGCGCAAGCCUGAUCCAGCAAUGCCGCGUGUGUGAAGAAGGCCUGCGGGUUGUAAAGCACUUUCAGUGGGGAAGAACAGAUUCGGGUCAAUACCCCGGAGCCCUGACGUUACCCACAGAAGAAGCACCGGCUAACUCCGUG